rnacentral:lncRNA from 1 species
CAUCCCUGUUUUGAAACACAAUUUUGAGGCGAAACUGUAGCAAUACACAUCUUUCAGUCUGGAUGCACAGUUUUGAAAGCAGUGUCUCCCUGAUAUGAAGAGAUUAUUUAUUUAUUAAGAAGCUCCAGCCACAAAGGCAGCAGAAGGUGCUUGGGGAGAAACCAAAGAAGCAGGACAAGUACAGAGUGAUUCUUCCAGCUUCUGACACUCGGCAGUUUUGGGACUCCCUGUGCUGAAGUUGCAUCUCAAGCAUUGUUUUUAUGAACCACUGAGUGAGGAAGCAACAAUAGGAACAAUGGAUCACUGUUCAGCAUCAGUGGCAACUGCACUUAGAAAUAAGUAACAGUGCCACUUCAAAAUGCUUGACAUGGACAACAGAGACAGAAGAGCCAGGAAAUUAUGGUAGUGCUAAAGCCACACCCACGGCCAGAGGCAGCAUCUCACAGCUCCUCUAAGUUGUGAACGCCUUGGGAGCUGAGAGUCCCUACCAUGCAGAGAGAAAAUCUUUUGGAAAAUGACAGUGUCUGAAGAAUAAUGGGAAUUCAAAGUCUGGCUCCAAAUUUCCUUGUGAAUCAGUCUGCUUCUCUGCAUCUGCAGAAUGGGACAGUCCUGUGGCAGUCCUUCUGUGUCCUGGAAGAUACCUUGUGUGUUCUGAUGAAUGGAAGGCAGAGGCAGUUUUGA